GAAUAAAGUCAUAAAGUCUGGUGCUUCGCUAGUUUGGUGAUAAAAAUUUUUCCCUCCUUUGUCAUGGACGAAGCGAUGUCGUAUCCUCAGAUAGAACCCGCCAACUUCGAUCUAAUCGUCAUCGGCACAGGCCUCCCGGAAUCCAUCCUCGCCGCCGCUGCGUCCAGCUCCGGCAAAACCGUCCUCCACCUCGACCCCAACCCUUACUACGGCAGCCACUUCGCCUCUCUACAUCUCCACGACUUCACCGAAUUCCUCCAGACCCACUCCCUACCCUCCGCUCCCGAAACCCAACCCAGCUCCUCCGGCGAAUUCAACGUUCUUCCCCUCACCACUAGCCCUGUCUACUCCUCCAUCGAAACCAGCGUGUUUUCCCCCGAAAUUCUCCAGAAGUCAAACCAAUUCAACCUCGAUUUAGCAGGGCCUAGGGUCUUGUUCUGUGCCGAUAAGAUGAUCGACUUGUUUUUGAAAACGGAGAUUAAUCACUCCAUGGAGUUCAAGAGUGUAGAUGCUAGCUUUAUUUGUGAGGGUGAGGAGGGGAAUUUGCGGAAUGUACCAGAUUCGCGAAGUGCCAUAUUCAAGGAUAAGAGCUUGAGCUUUACAGAGAAGAAUCAGUUGAUGAGGUUCUUCAAGCUUGUUCAGGAUCAUUUUGGUGAUGGGAGUGGCGAGGAAAGCAAGAAAAUUUCUGAGGAAGAUUUAAAGAGUCCAUUUGUGGAGUUUUUGAGCCGGAAGAUUGGGUUGUCGCAGAAGCUAAAAUCGAUUAUUUUGUAUGCAAUUUCGAUGGCACAUUAUGAACAAGACAACUUGGAAGUCUGCAAGGACGUCCUCGAGACGAAAGACGGAAUCGAUCUUUUAAUACUCUAUCAUAAAUCUGGAGGCAGGUUUCCUAAUGCACCUGGUGCCAUGAUAUAUCCACUCUACGGGCAAGGAGAACUUCUACAAGCAUUUUGCCGUCGUGCUGCCGUUAAAGGUUCUAUCCAUGUCCUGCGAAUGCCUGUGGUUGGUCUACUAGCAGAUAAGGAAGUUGGGAAUUAUAAGGGUGUUAAGUUGCUUUCUGGUCAAGAAUUAUUCAGCCAUAAGCUGAUCCUUGAUCCCUCAUUCAUUCUUCCAUCAGGUUUCGCUCCUUCUUACUUGUAUCCUGAGCCAGAUGGUGGCCAUGAUUUUGGCCUGCUAGAUGAAAAAGUAAAGGUGGUUAGGGGAAUAUGCAUCACAAAAAGUUCCCUAAAACUGGAUGUUGCAAAUUGUCUGGUGUUCUUUCCCCCUCGAUCUUUGUUUGCAGAGCAGAUGACAUCCGUCCGAGUUUUCCAAUUGAGUAGCAAUGUUGCUGCUUGUCCCUCUGGCAUGUUUGUCGUUUACCUAUCGACUCUAUGCAAAGAUGUUGGACAAGGGAAGAAGAUGGUAAAUGAAGCAAUGAAUGCUUUGUUUUCAAUUCCUAUUUCUGGGAAACCCGAGGAAAACUCUACUGAUUCUCAUGGUGAAAAUACAGUGUUAAGAUUGAAACCCAGUUUACUGUGGAGUACAGUUUAUAUACAGGAGCUCACAAUGGGUGCAUUUGGUUGUGUGAGUUCAACCUUUAUGCCUGAUGGGAAUCUACAAUACAACAACCUUCUAGAUGCUACGACUAAGCUUUUUCACAAGAUGUAUCCCAACGAAGAAUUUUUUCCAGAGGCGACCUCAUCCAUUGAGGUUGCAGAAGAUGGCGCGUUUGAGCAAUUAGACUCCUAGGUGUUUUGACCUUUUUCUAGCGAGAAUGAGGAUCCUGAGAAAACAAAAACCAAGGAUCUUCCCUCCCUAGUUUACCACGGGUUUGUCACCUGGCUUCAUUCUUAGCGCAGGUGAGUCCCAACCUGCCCAUAUUUAGUCUCUUGUAUAAUGAAGCAACUGGCUCGAUCAAAUUUUAACGCAUUUCUAGUUUGGCAGAACAAAAAAGAUACGUACGAUAAUAAUUGAGAUGCUAUGUCUGCCUAAACGGUUCGCUACGCACUGCGCUCAAUCUGGCCUAGUACUCGAGUGUAUCAACACUUGUGUUUGGAUUUGACAUUAUUUGAAAUAAUUAUUGUAGUACUUUCUAUGAUAUGAUGUAUAUGAGAUAAAAAGGUGCGUUGAAAAUUGUGUUUGUGAUGUACCAAAUAAUAGCUAUCCAAACUGUCGCGCGAAAA